CCUCCGCCUUGCUGCACGAAACCUUGAAAACGUAAACUUGACGAACAGCUUUAAGAUCAGUGUGUACCACCUCCUUAAGGCUAAUACCCUAGUUUUGUGUGAACAAACAGUGAGUGAGUUGCAAGAGAGGUUGGGGAAGGACAAAGGGGUGGGGUAUUG
rnacentral:ribozyme from 1 species